AGUGAACGCUGGCGGUAGGCCUAACACAUGCAAGUCGAACGGCAGCACAGUAAGAGCUUGCUCUUACGGGUGGCGAGUGGCGGACGGGUGAGGAAUACAUCGGACUCUACUUUUUCGUGGGGGAUAACGUAGGGAAACUUAAGCUAAUACCGCAUACGACCUACGGGUGAAAGCAGUGGAUCUUCGCACCUUGCGCGAUUGAAUGAGCCGAUGUCGGAUUAGCUAGUUGGCGGGGUAAUGGCCCACCAAGGCGACGAUCCGUAGCUGGUCUGAGAGGAUGAUCAGCCACACUGGAACUGAGACACGGUCCAGACUCCUACGGGAGGCAGCAGUGGGGAAUAUUGGACAAUGGGCGCAAGCCUGAUCCAGCCAUACCGCGUGGGUGAAGAAGGCCUUCGGGUUGUAAAGCCCUUUUGUUGGGAAAGAAAAGCAGCAGGUUAAUACCCCGCUGUUCUGACGGUACCCAAAGAAUAAGCACCGGCUAACUUCGUG
rnacentral:rRNA from 1 species